UACGUAGGGUGCAAGCGUUGUCCGGAAUUAUUGGGCGUAAAGAGCUCGUAGGCGGUUUGUCGCGUCUGCUGUGAAAAUCCAGGGCUUAACCCUGGACCUGCAGUGGGUACGGGCAGACUGGAGUGCGGUAGGGGAGAUCGGAAUUCCUGGUGUAGCGGUGAAAUGCGCAGAUAUCAGGAGGAACACCGGUGGCGAAGGCGGGUCUCUGGGCCGAUACUGACACUGAGAAGCGAAAGCGUGGGGAGCGAACAGG
rnacentral:rRNA from 1 species